rnacentral:pre_miRNA from 1 species
AAUAAACCAAUUUUUCACUUUUUACCUAUAAUUUUUGACUCUUUGUUUUAUUUAAUUUUUUUUUACGAUUAAUAUUUUUGUUUUUAUUAGAUGAUAAAUCAUGAAUAGUAAUUUACGUGUGACUAAUUUUUUUAUAAUUUUCUAAAAAUUUUUUAAAUAAAACGAAUGGUUAAAUAUUGACCACGGAAACCGAAAACCGGA